rnacentral:rRNA from 1 species
CUUGGUCAUUUAGAGGAAGUAAAAGUCGUAACAAGGUCUCCGUUGGUGAACCAGCGGAGGGAUCAUUACCGAGUUUACAACUCCCAAACCCCUGUGAACAUACCUAUACGUUGCCUCGGCGGAUCAGCCCGCGCCCCGUAAAACGGGACGGCCCGCCCGAGGACCCCUAAACUCUGUUUUUAGUGGAACUUCUGAGUAAAACAAACAAAUAAAUCAAAACUUUCAACAACGGAUCUCUUGGUUCUGGCAUCGAUGAAGAACGCAGCAAAAUGCGAUAAGUAAUGUGAAUUGCAGAAUUCAGUGAAUCAUCGAAUCUUUGAACGCACAUUGCGCCCGCCAGUAUUCUGGCGGGCAUGCCUGUUCGAGCGUCAUUUCAACCCUCAAGCUCAGCUGGUGUUGGGACUCGCGGUAACCCGCGUUCCCCAAAUCGAUUGGCGGUCACGUCGAGCUUCCAUAGCGUAGUAAUCAUACACCUCGUUACUGGUAAUCGUCGCGGCCACGCCGUUAAACCCCAACUUCUGAAUGU